ACCCUUCCGACCCCGGCCGGUCGGCCCCCGGAAGGGGCACCUGCUGGCCCCGGGCCAGGCCCAGGCCCCCCAGGGCGUGACUCGGGUCCCAGGCGACAUCCCCGCGCCCGCCCGGCGGGUCCCAGACUAGGGACUCCGCUCUUUGUUUCCAUAACUUCGGGCACCUCUGGGCGGCCGAGCGCACCCGGCGGCUCGGGCUCAGGCGGGGCCGCACGAUCUCGCAUCGCCCCGCGUCCAGCCCGGGGCGUCUGUCCUUCAACGACUCAGCGCGUCCCCGCCCGCACCCCCAGAACCGCACAGCGUCCCCAGCGACGACCACACGGAAUCCUAGACGUGUGUGAGAAGGUGCUGUCUGCUCCAUGUGUGUGGCCGUGGUGGGGUCCUGGAGGGAACCCCAUUGGCAGAGGGACAGAGAAACCCCAUUGCAGAUCCAUGCUUCCCUGGGGUAUCAGGGAGGGCACUGGAGGACGCCCAGGAAACCGGACAAAACCCAGAGGCCAAGCUGGGAUUUUGUCCCAGCUGUUUCUGCGUUUGGGAGGCUCCUGACCCAAAUCCGCCUCAAGGGAAGCUCGAGGAGGUGGGGAUGGGGCCGCAGCUUUGGGCUGGCAGCUCCCCCCAUUCUCUGAGCCAGGCCAGCCCGGCGUCUGUCCCACGUGAGACCUUCUGGACAGUCCUGGGGGCCAGCACCCCAGGAGCCCCUGCUGCCCAUCUGUGGGGGCAGGUGUGGGACCUGCAGGCCAAGCCCCGGCUCACCUGGCUCAGCCAGAGGCCCUCCAGGAAGCAGCUCCGCCAGGCGCCCACUGCUCCGCACACAGCGUACUAGUGCACACGAGGACUAACAGGUGGCUGUGCCGGCCUCAGGCCCCAGGCCCCAGCUGUCCCUGGGCCCUGCACCCUGAGAGGAGCAUGUCGAAGCCGGGCUGUGCAGUGUGGCGUGAGGAGGGAGCCGAGGCUUCCUGGCCUGUGUUUGUCUCAGAGGAAGGCGGCGAGGGAGCUGGUGCUGUGGUUUGAAGCAGUGGGGCCAUCCCCUUCCUGGUGCCCUUCCAGGGAACCCAGCAGGCAAGCGCAUCUACCCGCAGGGCACAGAGAAGCAGGUGCUCCCAAGGCUGACCGGUGGCUGGCACUGGAAGCCCCAGGGGUGGAGGACCACAUUAGCCGGGUCCCUGAGAACUCUCAGCUGGAAGCAGCCUCAUCAGGUUGUAUACCCAGCAUGUCAAACGCAAAGGCGACCAUGGGCCCAAUAAACAAGGUGUAAGGGUACAUGGGCCGCAAGAAAAACAAAAGCUUCCAUUUUCGUAGAAAUGUAGGUUUAUGUCAAUAGGGACAUGCUGAAUACAAAGGGCUGAAAUAAAUGAGCCAUCGUCAGCAUAAAAUAACAGAACAGGGACUCUUUCCCCCUCCCCACGUGGGAGUCUGUACUUGUUCUUCAGUAAAUUUCCACCUUUGCUAUAAAAAAAAUUAGAACAUUUUAAUAGAAAUUAAUCUUUCUUGAACAUUAACU